UACAGAGGGUGCGAGCGUUGUUCGGAAUUAUUGGGCGUAAAGAGCGUGUAGGCGGCCAUGUAGGUCCGGUGUGAAAACUCGAGGCUUAACCUCGAGAUGUCAUCGGAAACCAUUUGGCUAGAGUCCGGAAGAGGAGAGUGGAAUUCCUGGUGUAGCGGUGAAAUGCGCAGAUAUCAGGAAGAACACCAAUGGCGAAAGCAGCUCUCUGGGACGGUACUGACGCUGAGACGCGAAAGCGUGGGGAGCGAACAGG
rnacentral:rRNA from 1 species